rnacentral:rRNA from 1 species
AGUGAACGCUGGCGGUAGGCCUAACACAUGCAAGUCGAACGGCAGCACAGUAAGAGCUUGCUCUUACGGGUGGCGAGUGGCGGACGGGUGAGGAAUACAUCGGAAUCUACUUUUUCGUGGGGGAUAACGUAGGGAAACUUACGCUAAUACCGCAUACGACCUACGGGUGAAAGCAGGGGAUCUUCGGACCUUGCGCGAUUGAAUGAGCCGAUGUCGGAUUAGCUAGUUGGCGGGGUAAAGGCCCACCAAGGCGACGAUCCGUAGCUGGUCUGAGAGGAUGAUCAGCCACACUGGAACUGAGACACGGUCCAGACUCCUACGGGAGGCAGCAGUGGGGAAUAUUGGACAAUGGGUGCAAGCCUGAUCCAGCCAUACCGCGUGGGUGAAGAAGGCCUUCGGGUUGUAAAGCCCUUUUGUUGGGAAAGAAAAGCAGCAGGUUAAAACCCCGCUGUUCUGACGGUACCCAAAGAAUAAGCACCGGCUAACUUCGUG